rnacentral:ncRNA from 1 species
CCCCACAACGGCUUCCUGGCGUGGUGGCGAUAACAGGUAACGGAGCA